rnacentral:rRNA from 1 species
UACGAAGGGGGCUAGCGUUGCUCGGAAUUACUGGGCGUAAAGGGCGCGUAGGCGGCCAUUCAAGUCGGAGGUGAAAGCCCAGGGCUCAACCCUGGAAUUGCCUUCGAUACUGUUUGGCUAGAGACCGGAAGAGGUAAGUGGAACUGCGAGUGUAGAGGUGAAAUUCGUAGAUAUUCGCAAGAACACCAGUGGCGAAGGCGGCUUACUGGUCCGGUUCUGACGCUGAGGCGCGAAAGCGUGGGGAGCAAACAGG